UUAACUUAAUUUUGUAUGGAGUUGGAACAUUAGCCAAGGUUUCCCGCCAGGGGCGCUGUUCCAACUCCAUAAAAAAUUGAGUUA
rfam:Bombyx mori DNA, contig: Bm_scaf88_contig34003, strain: p50T/Dazao, build 2, whole genome shotgun sequence.